rnacentral:rRNA from 1 species
GACGAACCGUCCAAACGUUAUUCGGAAUCACUGGGCUUACAGAGUUCGUAGGCGGUCUGGAAAGUUGGGUGUGAAAUCCCUCGGCUUAACCGGGGAACUGCGUCUGAUACUGGAUGGCUUGAAUCCGGGAGAGGGAUGCGGAAUUCCACGUGUAGCGGUGAAAUGCGUAGAGAUGUGGAGGAACACCGAUGGCGAAGGCAGCCUCCUGGGCCAACACUGACGCUCAUGCACGAAAGCGUGGGGAGCAAACAGG